rnacentral:rRNA from 1 species
UACGGAGGGUGCAAGCGUUAAUCGGAAUUACUGGGCGUAAAGCGCACGUAGGCGGCUUUGUAAGUUAGAGGUGAAAGCCCGGGGCUCAACCCCGGAAUUGCCUUUAAGACUGCAUCGCUAGAAUUGUGGAGAGGUGAGUGGAAUUCCGAGUGUAGAGGUGAAAUUCGUAGAUAUUCGGAAGAACACCAGUGGCGAAGGCGACUCACUGGACACAUAUUGACGCUGAGGUGCGAAAGCGUGGGGAGCAAACAGGG